GACGGCAGCGAUGCACUGGAAAAUGGCCGCUCCGUCCAUGUUCACUGUGGCUCCGAUGGGAAGGAUGAAGCGGCUGAUGCGUUUGUCAACACCGUUAUUCUCCUCAACACACUUUAUCAUAGAGGGAAGAGUUGCUGAGCUGUGGGUCAGGUUUCCUGCUAUCACAUGACUGAAGUGAGGAUCUGGAUUAACCCGGGGAAACCAGAGCUGAGAACUGGCAUGCUUUUCUCACAGAGGCUCCCCAGAGUCUCUCUGUCUCUUCUCUGUGGACUGAUUUUUAAAGCUCUGUUACAUAACUACUUGAUUUUCUAAUUAACUAAAGCCACACAUCAUGCACAAUCAUUUUAAUUCAAGACAGCAGAAUGAAGGUUAUUCGGCUAAUGUGGUCAGGAGUGGUUCCAUCUUUUUACUGACUCUUGGCCUUUUUAAGUUUCGUGUCACAGUUGUCUGCAAAUCAGCUUUUCUUUCCUUGUUUCCAAAUUAAUUAAUUUAUUGAUUGAUGCACCCAAUGCAAGAAAGACAUGUAAUAAAAGCUGAAAUAAAAGUUACUGUUUUUAGUA